rnacentral:rRNA from 1 species
GACGAACGCUGGCGGCGUGCUUAACACAUGCUAGUCGAACGGUAAGGCCCUUCGGGGUACACGAGUGGCGAACGGGUGAGUAACACGUGGGUGAUCUGCCCUGCACUUCGGGAUAAGCCUGGGAAACUGGGUCUAAUACCGGAUAGGACCACUGCCUGCAUGGGUGGUGGUGGAAAGCUUUUGCGGUGUGGGAUGGGCCCGCGGCCUAUCAGCUUGUUGGUGGGGUGAUGGCCUACCAAGGCGACGACGGGUAGCCGGCCUGAGAGGGUGACCGGCCACACUGGGACUGAGAUACGGCCCAGACUCCUACGGGAGGCAGCAGUGGGGAAUAUUGCACAAUGGGCGCAAGCCUGAUGCAGCGACGCCGCGUGAGGGAUGACGGCCUUCGGGUUGUAAAUCUCUUUCAGCACCGACGAAGCGCAAGUGACGGUAGGUGCAGAAGAAGGACCGGCCAACUACGUGCCAGCAGCCGCCGUAA